rnacentral:lncRNA from 1 species
GCAAAAAAAAAAAAAAAAAAAAACAAAAGAUAAAAAUUUUACCAAAAAACUAAAACUAAAUUGUAAAAAACUCUCUUAUAAAUAUUUUUUUUAAUUACUUUCUAUUCCUAACUUUCAAAAAAUCUAUAUUUACUUCCUCAACAUUUUAGUUGAUGAAUUUAGGCCCUCUCUUUCAGGGUUCUAUUAUUAUUUUUCCAUCUAUUUCUUAUAAUUUACUUCCUCAAAAAUGAAUAAGUAAAUAUUUAUAGAAGAAUUUUCUGUAAUUUGACCAAAGACUAAACAAUUUUAUUUUUUAGAGAAUAAAAAAUAUAAAUACAAUUUCU